rnacentral:rRNA from 1 species
CCUACGGUGGGCAGCAGUGAGGAAUAUUGGUCAAUGGCCGGAAGGCUGAACCAGCCAUGCCGCGUGAAGGUCAGUGCCCUAUGGGCGUUAAACUUCUUUUGUGCGGGAGCAAUAAUGGUCACGUGUGGCCAGACGAGAGUACCGUACGAAUAAGCAUCGGCUCACUCCGUGCCAGCAGCCGCGGUAAUACGGGGGAUGCAAGCGUUAUCCGGAUUUAGUGGGUUUAAAGGGUGCGUAGGCUGUGAGGUAAGUCAGCGGUGAAAUGCCCCCGCUCCACGGGGUGAAGUGCCAUUGAUACUGGCGUGCUGGAAUGCGGAUGCGGUGGGAGGAAUGUGUGGUGUAGCGGUGAAAUGCAUAGAUAUCACGCAGAACACCGAUUGCGAAGGCAGCUCACGAAUCCGCGAUUGACGCUGAUGCACGAAAGCGUGGGUAUCAAACAGGAUUAGAUACCCUAGUAGUC